GAUGAACGCUAGCUACAGGCUUAACACAUGCAAGUCGAGGGGAAACGGCAUUUAGUGCUUGCACCGAAUGGACGUCGACCGGCGCACGGGUGAGUAACGCGUAUCCAACCUUCCCAUUACUGUGGGAUAACCUGCCGAAAGGCAGACUAAUACCGCAUAGUCUUCGAUGACGGCAUCAGAUUUGAAGUAAAGAUUUAUCGGUAAUGGAUGGGGAUGCGUCUGAUUAGCUUGUUGGCGGGGUAACGGCCCACCAAGGCAACGAUCAGUAGGGGUUCUGAGAGGAAGGUCCCCCACAUUGGAACUGAGACACGGUCCAAACUCCUACGGGAGGCAGCAGUGAGGAAUAUUGGUCAAUGGACGAGAGUCUGAACCAGCCAAGUAGCGUGCAGGAUGACGGCCCUAUGGGUUGUAAACUGCUUUUGUAUGGGGAUAAAGUCAAUCACGUGUGAUUGUUUGCAGGUACCAUACGAAUAAGGACCGGCUAAUUCCGUGCCAGCAGCCGCGGUAAUACGGAAGGUCCGGGCGUUAUCCGGAUUUAUUGGGUUUAAAGGGAGCGUAGGCCGGAGAUUAAGUGUGUUGUGAAAUGUAGACGCUCAACGUCUGACUUGCAGCGCAUACUGGUUUCCUUGAGUACGCACAACGUUGGCGGAAUUCGUCGUGUAGCGGUGAAAUGCUUAGAUAUGACGAAGAACUCCGAUUGCGAAGGCAGCUGACGGGAGCGCAACUGACGCUUAAGCUCGAAGGUGCGGGUAUCGAACAGG
rnacentral:rRNA from 1 species